CCUACGGGAGGCAGCAGUGAGGAAUAUUGGUCAAUGGACGAGAGUCUGAACCAGCCAAGUAGCGUGAAGGAUGACUGCCCUAUGGGUUGUAAACUUCUUUUAUAUGGGAAUAAAAUGUUCCACGUGUGGGAUUUUGUAUGUACCAUAUGAAUAAUGAUCGGCUAACUCCGUGCCAGCAGCCGCGGUAAUACGGAGGAUCCGAGCGUUAUCCGGAUUUAUUGGGUUUAAAGGGAGCGUAGGUGGAUUGUUAAGUCAGUUGUGAAAGUUUGCGGCUCAACCGUAAAAUUGCAGUUGAAACUGGCAGUCUUGAGUACAGUAGAGGUGGGCGGAAUUCGUGGUGUAGCGGUGAAAUGCUUAGAUAUCACGAAGAACUCCGAUUGCGAAGGCAGUUCACUGGACUUCAACUGACACUGAGGCUCGAAAGUGUGGGUAUCAAACAGGAUUAGAUACCCCAGUAGUC
rnacentral:rRNA from 1 species